AAAGUCGUAACAAGGUUUCCGUAGGUGAACCUGCGGAAAAAAAAAUAUGGACAAUCCAUCCAUAUCCCACCUCGUGUGCACCCAUUGAAACCAUGCUUUGGGAGGUUUCUCCUCUGUUGGAAUUGGAGACCCUCAAGCCUCCCAAGGUUGUUCUCAACACUUUUUUUUUUUUUUUUCCUGAAAAAUCAAACAUAAUAAUUAAUAAUAAAUACAACUUUCAACAACGGAUCUCUUGGCUCUC
rnacentral:misc_RNA from 1 species